rnacentral:rRNA from 1 species
ACGCUCGACACCUACGGGGGCAGCAGUGGGGAAUAUUGCACAAUGGGGGAAACCCUGAUGCAGCAACGCCGCGUGAAGGAAGACGGUUUUCGGAUUGUAAACUUCUGUUCUUAGUGAAGAUAGUGACGGUAGCUAAGGAGCAAGCCACGGCUAACUACGUGCCAGCAGCCGCGGUAAUCUGAGCGGGCUGGCAAGGC